GUUUGGCGGCGGAGCAGGUCGCGGCAGGUUCGGUGGCGGAGCAGGUCUCGGCAGGGUUCGGCGACGGAGUAUGUCGUGGCAGGGUUCUUCGGUGGAGUAGGUCUCGGCGGGCUUCGGCGGCAAAGGCGAUGGCAGGCUCGAGCUCCAGUAGGAGCACAACACGGUCGGCGACGAAAAUAUCCAGGCAAGAAUGGUGGAUGCAAAUUAUGGCAGUGGUAUGAACCAGGGACAACGCCAUAUUUGAAGCAGGUUUUGAAUGAUUUAGUCAGCACUGUUCGUGAAGUGAAGACAGAGAACUCUAAAAUUAGAGCAUCCCUUGCCAACUCAAGAGCUGUGAUUGAUGGACUUGUCACUGAAUGCAAUGUCUAUGAAGCAAAGAGCAUGGGACAAAAAGAGGAAUUGUGGCUCAUUUGCUGA
rnacentral:lncRNA from 1 species